GACGGGAAACUUUCGGGUGAGUACUAGUGGCGCACGGGUGAGGAACGCGUGGAUAAUCUGCCUUAGAGUGGGGGAUAACUAGUCGAAAGAUUAGCUAAUACCGCAUAAGACCACAGGAGCUGCGGCUCUAGGGGUCAAAGGUUUUUCGCUCUAAGAUGAGUCCGCGUAAGAUUAGCUAGUUGGUGAGGUAACGGCUCACCAAGGCGACGAUCUUUAACUGGUCUGAGAGGAUGAUCAGUCACACUGGAACUGAGACACGGUCCAGACUCCUACGGGAGGCAGCAGUAGGGAAUAUUGCACAAUGGAGGAAACUCUGAUGCAGCGACGCCGCGUGAGUGAUGAAGGCCUUCGGGUCGUAAAGCUCUGUCGCAGGGGAAUAACACAAUGAAUGUACCCUGUAAGAAAGGAUCGGCUAACUUCGUGCCAGCAGCCGCGGUAAGACGAGGGAUCCUAGCGUUGUUCGGAAUUAUUGGGCGUAAAGCGGAUGUAGGUGGCUUUGUAAGUCAGAUGUGAAAGCCCAGGGCUCAACCCUGGAAGUGCAUUUGAUACUGCGAAGCUUGAGUGUCGGAGAGGUUACUAGAAUUGUUGGUGUAGUGGUGAAAUACGUAGAUAUCAACAGGAAUACCGGAGGCGAAGGCGGGUAACUGGCCGAACACUGACACUGAGAUCCGAAAGCGUGGGGAUCAAACAGGAUUAGAUACCCUGGUAGUCCACGCCGUAAACGAUGGAUACUUGUGU
rnacentral:rRNA from 1 species